ACGGGUGAGUAAUGCCUAGGAAUCUGCCUGGUAGUGGGGGAUAACGCUCGGAAACGGACGCUAAUACCGCAUACGUCCUACGGGAGAAAGCAGGGGACCUUCGGGCCUUGCGCUAUCAGAUGAGCCUAGGUCGGAUUAGCUAGUUGGUGAGGUAAUGGCUCACCAAGGCGACGAUCCGUAACUGGUCUGAGAGGAUGAUCAGUCACACUGGAACUGAGACACGGUCCAGACUCCUACGGGAGGCAGCAGUGGGGAAUAUUGGACAAUGGGCGAAAGCCUGAUCCAGCCAUGCCGCGUGUGUGAAGAAGGUCUUCGGAUUGUAAAGCACUUUAAGUUGGGAGGAAGGGCAUUAACCUAAUACGUUGGUGUCUUGACGUUACCGACAGAAUAAGCACCGGCUAACUCUGUGCCAGCAGCCGCGGUAAUACAGAGGGUGCAAGCGUUAAUCGGAAUUACUGGGCGUAAAGCGCGCGUAGGUGGUUUGUUAAGUUGGAUGUGAAAUCCCCGGGCUCAACCUGGGAACUGCAUUCAAAACUGACAAGCUAGAGUAUGGUAGAGGGUGGUGGAAUUUCCUGUGUAGCGGUG
rnacentral:rRNA from 2 species